UACGUAGGUCCCGAGCGUUGUCCGGAUUUAUUGGGCGUAAAGCGAGCGCAGGUGGUUUAUUAAGUCUGGUGUAAAAGGCAGUGGCUCAACCAUUGUAUGCAUUGGAAACUGGUAGACUUGAGUGCAGGAGAGGAGAGUGGAAUUCCAUGUGUAGCGAUGAAAUGCGUAGAUAUAUGGAGGAACACCGGUGGCGAAAGCGGCUCUCUGGCCUGUAACUGGCACUGAGGCUCGAAAGCGUGGGGAGCAAACAGG
rnacentral:rRNA from 1 species